rnacentral:rRNA from 1 species
UACGAAGGGGGCGAGCGUUGUUCGGAUUUACUGGGCGUAAAGGGCGCGCAGGCGGCAGAUCAAGUCAGAUGUGAAAGCCCCGGGCUUAACCUGGGAACUGCAUUUGGGACUGGUUUGCUAGAGAUCGGGAGAGGAGAGUGGAAUUCCCAGUGUAGAGGUGAAAUUCGUAGAUAUUGGGAAGAACACCGGUGGCGAAGGCGGCUCUCUGGACCGAUACUGACGCUGAGGCGCGGAAAGCGUGGGGAGCAAACAGG